rnacentral:lncRNA from 1 species
AUGCGGCGAGGGCUGAUAGCUCUUCCUCUUCGGCAGCUCAGUAGGGUCGUCCAGCCUUCAGCAAGGCUCAGCCAGCGGACGCCAGUCCCGGGAGAGGCGAUUCCUGCGGCUGCUGGAGAGGCCCGGUGGCUGCCGCAUUUCUGCCGUCUAGUCGCCCGCUCCGUGCGAUACAACCCGAGCUCCCUGACGUCCAAGGAGAAAGGACCAAUGACAUCACUGGAUGAUGUCUUAAUACACAUGAAUUGGAUUUAAGUGUGACAGAGCUGCAGAGAGUCAUCAGACUCAUCCUCUUUCU